CUCGCCAUAGUUCAAUGGAUAGAACGAGUGCCUCCUAAGUGCUAGAUAUAGGUUCGAUUCCUAUUGGCGGGACCA
rnacentral:tRNA from 1 species